rnacentral:rRNA from 1 species
AUGGUGCUGGUGGUGAAGCAGCACCGCUGCACGCACUCGGCUUCCUGCUCCUGCACCAAGGGCCACCUCAGCGAGGACGCGCUGUUCCUUGUCUUCCGCCACAUGAACUGGAACCCCAGGCUGAUCGCCAACCUCUCCUGCGUCUGCAAGUGGUUCGACGAGGUCGCCAAGCAGGUGCUGUGGAAGGAGUUCUGCCAUGCCAGGGCGCCCAAGAUGAUGCUAGAUCUGCAUUCCGACGGCAGCCACAUUGUCGACGGCAACUGGAAGGCGCUCGGAAAGCUGCUGAUCUACUGCAAUGGCUGCACAAAGGGGGGCUUGUUCGGGAACAUCCAUGUCCCCGGCCACUUUGUGUUCAGGACGCGCUUUUCAAGGACCGCAGGCAAGAGCUUCCUGCCUCUGCAGUGUAGGAUGGAUGUCUUGUAUGUGUCCGAUCCGUGCGAACAUCUCGACCAGGGGGAAGAAGGCGACCUGGGUUUUUUCCGUGGCAUCUUCAAGUCGUUUGCCACUUCAAGGGUCAAGAAGAUCCUGAUUGAGAAGCAGGCUAGGUUCCAUCCAAUGGAGGUUUGCCCCUAUUGCAAGGCUAAGCUAUGGAACAUGCUGCAUGCUGAUAUGAUGCCGGCUAGUGCUUCCGCCAGGCUGGGUGCUUACGAUGAUUCCGUGGAGUACUUUGUAUGCCUGAAUGGACAUGUCAUUGGAUUGGGAACCCUGUUACCUCUCUCGGAUUCUGAGGAGGCACCGGAGGAGUAA